rnacentral:rRNA from 1 species
GCAGCACGGGAGCAAUCCUGGUGGCGAGUGGCGAACGGGUGAGUAAUAUAUCGGAACGUGCCCAGUCGUGGGGGAUAACGUAGCGAAAGCUACGCUAAUACCGCAUACGAUCUACGGAUGAAAGCGGGGGACCCGUAAGGGCCUCGCGCGAUUGGAGCGGCCGAUAUCAGAUUAGGUUGUUGGUGAGGUAAAAGCUCACCAAGCCUGCGAUCUGUAGCUGGUCUGAGAGGACGACCAGCCACACUGGAACUGAGACACGGUCCAGACUCCUACGGGAGGCAGCAGUGGGGAAUUUUGGACAAUGGACGCAAGUCUGAUCCAGCAAUGCCGCGUGCAGGACGAAGGCCUUCGGGUUGUAAACUGCUUUUGUACGGAACGAAACGGUCUGCUUUAAUACAGUGGGCUAAUGACGGUACCGUAAGAAUAAGCACCGGCUAACUACGUGCCAGCAGCCGCGGUAAUACGUAGGGUGCGAGCGUUAAUCGGAAUUACUGGGCGUAAAGCGUGCGCAGGCGGUUAUAUAAGACAGAUGUGAAAUCCCCGGGCUCAACCUGGGACCUGCAUUUGUGACUGUAUAGCUAGAGUACGGUAGAGGGGGAUGGAAUUCCGCGUGUAGCAGUGAAAUGCGUAGAUAUGCGGAGGAACACCGAUGGCGAANGCNAUCCCCUGGACCUGUACUGACGCUCAUGCACGAAAGCGUGGGGAGCAAACAGGAUU